rnacentral:lncRNA from 1 species
AGGUGUGUGACACGAAUGUGUUGCCCAACACGGGCCUAAACACGACAGUGUCACCCCUUUUAAAGCAAACCCAAACUUUUUUUUAAGUUUGUCUUAUUCCUUCCCUUUUCGACCCUUGCCACGACUCUCCAAACACCAAAACCCUAGCCCAUUGCUCACCAUACCGACCGUCAUUCUCUUCCACCCCAUUUUCACCUUCGUCGCCAACACCUCCCCUCUCUAUCGUCGAGCCUUUGCCACGAACCCCCAUGCCCUAACUCCCCUUUUUUCCUUUCUUUUCCAAGCCUCCACCCUCAUCGACCACCACCCACCUCACCUCUCCCUCACCAAAGCCACCCGUCCCACACUCUCAUGCCGACCACACCCCUCCCUUGGCCUUCUUCUUGCCACGACCACACCGCCAUCCCCUCAACUCCCCCUCUCCUCUCAUUUUCUUCUCUUUUCUCUCCCUUUCUCCCCACCCCAACGGUCACCCCCAACCAAACCUCCUCCUUUUGCCCUAUAAUCCCUCACGACUCCCCCGCCCUUCCCUCUCCUCUUCCUUGACCUCCUUCCCUCGAUUGUCCUCUCCUCGCACCACCACCCCCUACUCCAUCGGCCUUCAACCAUCACCGCCGCUCUCACCAACUGCCGUGCAUACCAUCACCAUCACAGUCGGUUUCCCCUUUGUCCCAAUUUUCUUUGUUUUUAUUUUAUUUAUUUAUUUUUUAAUUUAGUUACUUCUUUUCUUGGUGUUCACUUUGCCUAUUAUUUUGUUUUAGAUUCUUUUAUUUUAGUAUUUUUAUUAUUUUUCUUGUUCUUAUUUUUUUCAUUUUCCUACUUCUGAUUUUGUUUUAUUCUAUUAGUUUAGUAUUAUUCUUCUUAUUAGUUUUCUUUCUAUUUGUCUUCUUAUUAGUAGUAGCUUUAAUUGUCCCUUUUAUUUUUCAUUUUUCUUA